AACGCAUCUUGCGCUCCUUGGUAUUCCGAGGAGCAUGCCUGUUUGAGUGUCAUGUUAUCUCUCAACCCUUGGGUUGGACUAUGGACGUCUGCGGGAGCCAGCCUUCCGCUCGUCUCAAAUGCAUUAGCAGGUGCCCCGCUCCUUGCUGGCGUUUAGUAAUGCUUGCGCCGCGCGAGGUCGCGAACAGUGCCCUUCUGCUCACCAGCCGGCGCCCCCGUGUGCCAACCUUUUGACCUUCUGGCCUCAAAUCAGGUAGGACUACCCGCUGAACUUAA
rnacentral:misc_RNA from 1 species